rnacentral:rRNA from 1 species
UAUUGGUCAAUGGGCGAAAGCCUGAACCAGCCAUCCAGCGUGCAGGAACAAGGCCCUAUGGGUUGUAAACUGCUUUUAUCAGGGAAGAAACCCUUGGAUUGACUCCGAGGCUGACGGUACCUGAAGAAUAAGCACCCGCUAACUCCGUGCCAGCAGCCGCGGUAAUACGGAGGGUGCGAGCGUUAUCCGGAAUUACUGGGUUUAAAGGGUGCGUAGGCGGCUUGGUAAGUCAGGAGUGAAAGUUUGCGGCUCAACCGUAAAAUUGCUUUUGAUACUGCCAGGCUAGAAUCAGGAUGAGGUCAGCGGAAUGUGGCAUGUAGCGGUGAAAUGCAUAGAUAUGCCAUAGAACACCAAUUGCGAAGGCAGCUGGCUAGACCUGUAUUGACGCUGAGGCACGAAAGCGUGGGGAGCGAACAGG